AUGUCUUAUAUUCAUUUAUGAUAUAAAAUUGCAAAUUUUAAGGUGUAAUUAAAAUUACUAAGGCUU
rnacentral:tRNA from 1 species